AUGUACUCAAUUCAGCGCUAUUCAAGCUGGAACAAUGCAGAGGAUAUUAGCUUGGCUCUUGUGCAAGGAUAACUAGCAAAUCAUGAAGUGUUCAAUAUUUUU